rnacentral:rRNA from 1 species
GACGAACGCUGGCGGCGUGCUUAACACAUGCAAGUCGAACGGACAGGCCCUGCGUUUGUUUGUUUCUCGAUUGGCGAACGGGGGAGUAACACAUGAGGAACCUCCCCUUGACUGUGUGAUAACUUCAGGAAACUGGGGCGAAUACCGCGUAUAAUCUCCUGCUGCGUGUUGUUGGUUGGAAAGAUUCGGCGGUGGGGGAUGGACUGGCGGGUUAUCAGCUGGUUGGUGGGGUAGGGGCUGACCAAGGCUUUGACGGGUAGGCGGCCUGAGAGGGUGAACGGGCACAUUGGGCCUGAGAUACGGAGCAGAAUCGUACGGGAGGCAGUAGGGGGGAACAUUGCAGAACGGGCGGAAGUGUGAUGUAGAAACGCCGCGAGCGGGAUGCUCGGCUUCGGGUUGUAAACAGAUUUCGAAUGUGACGAAGAGUGAGUGACGGUAAUGGGUAAAGAAGCAACGGCUAACUACGUG